rnacentral:rRNA from 1 species
GACGAACGCUGGCGGCGUGCUUAACACAUGCAAGUCGAACGGAAAGGCCCUGCUUUUGUGGGGUGCUCGAGUGGCGAACGGGUGAGUAACACGUGAGUAACCUGCCCUUGACUUUGGGAUAACUUCAGGAAACUGGGGCUAAUACCGGAUAGGAGCUCCUGCUGCAUGGUGGGGGUUGGAAAGUUUCGGCGGUUGGGGAUGGACUCGCGGCUUAUCAGCUUGUUGGUGGGGUAGUGGCUUACCAAGGCUUUGACGGGUAGCCGGCCUGGGAGGGUGACCGGCCACAUUGGGACUGAGAAAAGGGCCAGAAUCCUACGGGAGGCAGCAGUGGGGAAUAUUGCACAAUGGGCGGAAGCCUGAUGCAGCAACGCCGCGUGCGGGAUGACGGCCUUCGGGUUGUAAACCGCUUUCGCCUGUGACGAAGCGUGAGUGACGGUAAUGGGUAAAGAAGCACCGGCUAACUACGUG